UAUUCUUGCCUGGAGAAUCCCAGGGAUAGAGGAGCCUGGUGGGCUGCCAUCUAUGGGGUCGCACAGAGUCAGACACGACUGAAGCAACUUAGCAGCAGCAGCAGCAGCAGCCACUUCUCUGGGGACACCAACUGGAUGUCUUAGAAUUCAAUCAGUUCUGACAUCAUCUACCUGGAGUUGGCCUGAGAUCCCACGGUUUAAGGACUCAGUCCCACAAGUCUAAUCCCCAACUCUCAGAUACCAUUGCAACUAGUGGGUCUUCAGGUUACUUGCAACCUCUGUACAAGUUGGCUACAAAUUGGGGGUUCCCACGACACCCCCUCCUCAGGUUCAGUGAUUUGCUAGAAUAGCUCACAGAAUUCAGGAAAACAGAUACUUACUAGAUUGCUGGUUUAUUAUAAAAAGGUCCCACUCCGGAGUGGUUGAAUGGAGGAGAUGGACAGGGCAAGAUAUGGGAGAAGGAUGCAGAGCAGACAUGCCCUCUGCAGCUGUGCCGCACACAACCUGCCUCCCCCCAGCACCUGCCGAAAGCUCUCAGAACUUCUUAGAGUUUUUCAUGGAGGCUUCGUUACACAGCCAUAGUUGGUUAAAUCAUUGGCCUUUGGUGAUCAAUGUCCAGCCUCUCUUCCUUCCCUGGAGGUGACGGGGGGUGGAAGGCUGAGUUCCAACCCUCUAAUCACAGGAUUGGUUUCCUAGCAACCAGCCCUCCUCCUCAGCUUUCCCACAGCCACUUCAUCACCAUGAACUCAGGUGUGGUUGAAAGGGGCUUGUUAUGAAGAAUAAAAGACACUCACUUAAAAAAAAGAUUUAUUUAUUUAUGCUUGGCUGCGCUGGAUCUUCAUUGCUGCACACGGGCUUUCUCUAGUUGUGACUAGCGUGGGAUACUCUUUUUGUGGUACGAGGGCUUCUUCUUGUGUGGCUUCUCUUGGGGCAGAGCACAGGCUGUAGGCACAUGGGCUUCAGUAGUUGUGGUGUGCUGGCUCAGUAAUUGUGGCACAUGGGCUUAGUUGCCAUGUGGCAUGUGAGAUCUUUCUGCACUAGGGAUUGAUGUAUAUCUCCUGCAUUGAAAGUGGAUUCUCAACCACUGGACCACCAGGGAAGCCCCCUCCUUUCACUGUUAUUGCUGUUAUCACUUAGGAAAUCCAAGGGUUUCAGAGACUCUGUGUCAGGAAAGGGGACAAAGACCAAAUAUAUAUCUUUCUUAGUAUCACAACAUCACAGGCAGCUAUUGAAAACAUAUUGGCGAGAGUCUGAAAUGAUCAGUCAUACCUAUUUAUAAAGUUUUUCUUGAUAGCAACCCUGAGGAUAGAUUGUAAAAGACCAGGAAGAUCAUGAAGAGUCAAUAUCAAUUAUGAGGUUAUUGUCUCCGAACUCCCAGCCCGCCCUUCUAUGCUCUGCUUUGUGAUUCUGAGCUGGGAAACCACAUUUCAUUUAUUCAGAAUUUAUUUUAUUUUUGGCCACCCUUGGUCUUCGUUGCUUCAAGCGGGCUUUCCCUAGUUGCAGCGAGCGGGGCUACUCUCUUGUUGCAACUGGAAAACCCUAGAGUGCAGGCUCGGUAGCUGCGGUACAUGGGCUUAGUUGCCCCACAGCAUGUGGAAUCUUCCUGGACCAGGGAUCAAACCAGUGUCACCUGCAUUGGCAGGCAGAUUCCUAACCACUGGACCACAAGGGAAGUCUAGGAAAACCACAUUUCUGUUUUGUCAGAUGGUUCUACGUUAGACCCUGGCAAUGGGGUUUGCUAGGAGAUUACACAAGUAAGGUGAUUAAGUCGUCCUGGUUUGCUCUGGGUGUCCUCAGUUUUAGCAAUGAAAGUUAUGCUUCCUGGGAACCUCUUUCCGGGGUGGUUGGUCACCUUAUGCAGAAGGGACUUGCCUGCUGUUCUUGUAAGUGUUACCUCAGCAACACUUCUUCACUCUGGUGGCGGUGGGGGCAGCAGCAGCAUUGCCUGAAUCCGAUUUGUAGUUUUCUAACACUUGCAAAGGGCUUCCCUGGUGCCUCAGCGGUAAAGAAUCCUCCUGCCGAUGCAGGAGACCCAGAUUUGAUCCCUGGGCCGGGCAGAUCCCCUGGAGAAGGAAAUGGCAACCCGCUCAGGUAUUCUUGCCUGGCCAGUGCCAUGGACAGAGGAGUCUGGUGGGUUAAAGUCCAUAGAGUUGGAAAGAGUGGACAGGACUGAGUGACUAAACAAUAACAGCAAGAAAAGCAACACUUGAAACACUAGUUUCAUCAGAAACAUCAGUGCCAGUUGGUGCCCUUUCUUCGCAUCUCUGUUCCCCCAGCUCUAGUGUGGUCCCCGCUUCCUGCAGUUGCUACUUCUAUGCCGUCUUAGAGUUGGGGUCCUCAGAGUGUGGUCCCCAGGGCAGCAGCAUCAGUAUCUGCUGGGAACUUGUUAGAAACACAUCAUUCUGGCCCCAUACCGGAUCCAUCAGACGCUGGUGGUUGUCCUCUGCAGUCUGCCUUUUAACAAGUCCUCCAGGCAGUUUGGCUAAGGUUUAAGAACCACUGCCUCAGGGAUCUUUUUACCCUUGCAGUUAUCUAGAUAACAACUCUGUGCCAAGUUGGCAGUUCCUUAUAUUAUAGUCUAUAUGUUCAAUUCUCCCUGUUAAAGUAACUGGUGUGGUUUCACUAUCCUUACUGGACCCUGACUUGUUAUGAAGAAUAAAAGACAUUAUUUCACUUUUAUCGCUCUUAGCAGGAAAUCCAAGGGUUUUAGGGACUCUGUGUCAGGAGAGGGAACAAACACCAAAUAUAUCUUUCUUAAUGUAAAUCAUAAUAUCACAGGUAGACUAAUCCAGACCCCAUUGCAAUAAUACAAGUUAUAGGACUUCCCUGAUUGUCCAGUGGUUAAGAAUCUGCCUGCCAAUGCAGGUGACACAGCUUUGAUCCCUGGUCCGGGAAGAUCCCAUAUGCUGAGGCGCAGCUAAGCCCACGUGCCACAACUACUAAGCCCACACUCUAGAACCCACGAGCCACAACUAUUGAGACCGCGUGCUGCAACUACGGAAGCCUGUAAGCUCCAGAGCCCGUGGUCUGCAACAGGAGAAGCCACUGCAAUGAGAAGCCUGCACGCUGCAACUAGAGAAAGCCUGCAUGCAGCAACAAAGCUCCAGUGCAGCCAAAAAUAAAUAAAUAAUUAAAAAAAUUAUAGAUGAAGACUGUCCAAACUCGAGUAGUAGGAGUGGGGUGGAGAAGAGGCAACACACAGAAAAUAUUUAAAAGUUCUGGAUUACUAUUUGAGUGGAGAGAGGUAUCUAGGACUGUUCCCACUUUCCUGGCCUGGGUUGCAGAUGGACUGUGAUGCCAGUUCACAAAACACAGGCACUGCAGGAAGAGGGAUGGGGUGAUGGUGGCCGAGAUGGUUGAUUUGCUUUGGGAUUUGAUCAGGUUCCGGGUGAGAUGCUCCGGUGCAGGUGUCCCACUGGCAGUUGGUUUUAGGGCCUUGAGCUCAGUCGAGAUGUCUGAACAGGAGAGUUGGGAAUGAUCUAAGGUGGCGCUCACUCCAUAGACCUGGCUAAGCCUCUCCAGAGAGAUAGGCAGCCAGGAUGUCAUAGAUCCGCUAGCCCGGUGUCAUAGAAUUACAGACCAGGACACACACUGGUGGGAAGUUAUAGAAAGUUGAAGGGGCAUUUCCCUGGUGGUCCAUCGGCUAAGACUCUGCACUCCCAAUGCAGGGAUCUCAGGAUCCACCCCUGGUCAGGGAACUAGAUCCCGCAUGCUGCAACUAAAACCCAGAGCAGCGAAAUAAUUAAUUAAAUUUUAAAACAAGGAAAGAAAGUGAGGGCUGAGGAAGGUUCACAAUGGGUCAAAUAUAAUGGACCGGCCAUGGAAGUGUAUUAACCAGUUUUUGGGUUUUUUUUCUCCUGUAUCCUGAUGCUUUGACAUCUGGGACCUUGCUGACCCUGGAAGGCCUACCCCUGCCAGGACUAGCCAGUUCCUAGAUAUAGUCAGUGAUUUUCUUUGGCGCAUGCUUUUCAAAUGCAAACCAACCAAUCUGGAGCCCACAGCCCCCUCGCCUGCUCUAUCCGGCUCUCACACUCCAGCCACUCUCCACCGGCUAUCAUCACCCCCUGGGCCACGUGCCAGAAAACAGGAGACCCUGUGCCUCCUUCCUGCACAAAAGGUAGCAAUCUGGGCACUCUAAUUGCACCUUGCUUUUUUUCACUGUAUCUUAAAGACCACUGCACACAGACACACACACACACACACACACACACUUAUGAAUCUGUAUUCCUAAUAGAUCUUAUUUCCUUUUACAGCUGUAUAGUAUUCUGUUUUUGUGGAUGAAGCAUAGUUGACUUAACCUGUACUCCAUUCAUGGCUGCUUCAGUGUUUUCUAGUUUUAAAAAAAUUAAGUAUUGUGGCUGUGCCAUGUCUUAGCCGCAGCAUGUGGAAUCUUUAGUAGCAGCAAGCGAACUCUUAGUUGCAUCAUGUGGGAUCUUAGUUCCCCGACCAGGGAUUGAUCUCUGGGCCACCUACAUUGGGAGCGAGGAGUCUCGCCACUGGAUCAAGGAAAGCCCCAGUUUUUUGCAGUACCAAAGAGGCACAUUUGUAUGACAUUUUUCUGUGAGUCUUUACGUUAGAAUCUUAGAUGUGGGAUUGCAGGUGUCAAAGAGUAAAUUUGCUAGAUAUUGCCAGAUUCUCCUCCAUGGAGGUUUGACUUGUUUUUCCAUUCCACUAGCAAGGUGUAAGGACCCCUGGGUCCUCACAGCAAUGCCAACAGAGCGUUGUCAAACCACCUGGAGUUUUGCUAAUUUGAUAGGUGAGAAAAAGGAUUGCAGUGUGGUUUGAAUUUGUGGCUUUUAAAGAUUACAUGGGGGGUUGAGCAUAUUUUUGUGUAUGCAGGGGAUAUUUGCAUUUCUUUUUAUGUGAACUUCCUCUUCGUAUAUCUUACCCACUUUCAAUAGGUUUCUGGGUCUUUUUUGCCUCGAUUUGUAGAUGCUGUUUAUACUUUAGAGACCCUUUGUGAUUCUAGUUGUAAAUAUUUCUUUUUCCAUUUUGUCGUCUGUAGUUUUUAGUUUGCCCAUGGUGGGUUUAUGUUUUGAAACUGUGAAAGGUUUUCAUUUUUGCUUGGUCAUUUAACAAAAUGCUCUUUCAUCACCUCUGAAUUUUGAUGAACCGUUUGGCAAAUACACCCCACUCUCACACUCUCAGGUCAUUAAGAGACUCACUUGUGUUUUAUUAUUUAUGAGAUGGUAUUUUUCCACUUAGGUCAUUGAUACAGUUUGAAUUUAAGCUGGCAUCCUGUGUGAGGAAUGGACUCAGGCUUUUUUGUUUGCUUGUUCAUCUAGUUGAUCCAAUAGCACUAAAUUAAAAACUUCCCUAAAGUUUCUUCCUGAAUUAAAAAGUAUUACAUGAUUGUAUAAGUUUCCAUAAGCAAUUGUUUCUAUUUCUGGGUUGAUCUGUGUAUGUAACAUGCAUCCGCAACACAUUGUUUUAUAUUGUUUUAUAUUGUUUUUAAUACCUGUUUUCUCCCCCCUUCUCCUUCUUUUUCAUUCCCCCCCCCACAUUUGCCUGCUGUACUUCCAAAUGAACCUUAUAAUCAAGUUGCCUAGCUGUAGAAAAGAAAAACCUGAUGACAUCUUUAUUAGGCUUGUGAUACAUUUAUAAAUGAACUCACAGCCCUGACCUCUUUAUCAUGUUGGCAGCCGUUUUUUUUUUGGUUUUUUUUUUUUGCCUUUCCAUCCUUCGUAUCCGUGUGCCACCUGGUGGCCACCAUUCACAACAGCAAUUGUUUUCUCUAAAGCUGCUCAAAAUAAUAAACGUUGGUCAUCUCACACACUUUCUGUGAGUCAGGUGUUACAGGAUGGCUUAUCUGGAUGAUCCUUGCUUGAAGCCCUGGCUCAUCCUCACUGUGAAGGCCUCACUCAUCAGAAAGCUUGAAUGGGGCUGGGGGAAUCCCAGAGGUGUCAGCUCCUCCCAGGUGGCUCAAUAGUAAAGUACCCACCUGCAAUGCAGGAGACACAGGUUCAGUCCCUGGGUUGGGAAGAUCCCCUGGACAGAGGAUCCUGGCAGGCUACAGUCCAUGGGGUCGUAAAGAGUCGGGCACGACUGAGCACAGCACACACACACACCUCAGUUCCUCACUGUAUGGCCCUCACCAUAGUUCCCUUAGGACCCGCAUCUGGAUUUCCCUCCGGGCAAAUGGACCUGAGGUAGGAGAUAGAUGGGCCUCCAGUCAGCUGGUGUUUGUCAAGUGGAGUAAAAUCUUUGUUCUCACACAGACAUCCAAGGACAAAGCUAGUGACAGAAGCUGAGCUCUGCUGAAGUAAAGAGAUAAGAUGACCACUCCUGAGGUAAGGAAGACUUCUGCACUCACGCAGGAAGACUCCUUGGGGGUCAAAAAGGAAUGGGACCCCACCCCAUAAUAAGUGUAGGCAGGUGCCCACAGGUCUCUUCAGUGGGAUCCAUCUUAACAAAAAAUUGUGCGGGCAUAUUGGAGAGGGUUCUAGGACUAGUCGGUGUGAAAAAAGAAACAAGACAACGGCUGAAUGUAAACAAAGACUUGGAAGGACUGUCCUAUAUAAGUGAUUUAAAUCACCUCUUUACUGCACUUCUCAUUCAGGACACCUGCACUUCUCUCCAGAGAUCAGACCCAGAGGAAGUGAGGUAGAAGCUGCUAUACUAGGAACGAAUCCAGGAUCCUACACGGAGUUGUCAGAUGCCCUUAACCUCCGAGAGUCGUGGGAUCUUUCACAUGAAAGUUCAGAUUUCAGGAUACUUUUGAAAAAUGUGCAGGAGAUCUGGCAAUACUCGGCAACAACCUGCAUUCAUGGCACAGCGACCUGGAACUGAGUGAUGGGAAGGUGCCCUCCAGGUCUUAGGGAGAAGGCAAUGGCAACCCACUUCCGUAUUCUUGGCUGGGAAAUCCCAUGGACAGAGGAGCCUGGCAGGCUACAAUCCAUGGGGUCGCAAAGAGUCAGACACACCUGAGCGACUGAACAACAACAAUUGAAUCUUAGCUGCGGUACGUGGGAUCUUUCUUGCAUUAGGCAGAAUCUUUCAUUGUCACACACAGUCUGAGUUGCUCCAUGGCAUGCAGGAUCUUAGUUUUACAACCAGGGAUUGAACCCAAGUCCCCUACAUUGCAAGGCAGAUUCUUAACAACUGGACCACCAGGGAAGUCCCAUAUAAAGUCGUUUCUGAGAACUUGAAACAAAAUCUGCACAAACAGAAAGCCAUGCUUUUGAAUAAGGAGCUUCACAACUUUUAAUGAUAUAAUUUCUACUAGAACUUAUAAGUUUAACGUGGUGCCAGUUAAAAUCCCCAAAGGACUUUUUUUCCCCCAAAGGACUUUUUGAGUAAAAUACUCAUAUAGCUUGCAUGGAAGAAUAAUGUCUCAUAAAAAGCAAGAAGAUUAUGAACAUAAAGAACAUUGAGAAGAGGUUAAUCUUAUCAGAUGUUUGAACUCACCAUAAAGCCGUUGAGAUAAAAAUAGUAUAGGACUGCCAUAUGACUAGGCAGAUAUAUCAGGAACGUUAGAAAUAGAGCCUGGAAAAAAUAUGAUUUUAUCACAUGUACAGGUGGUAUUUGAAUUUGGUAGGAGAAUGGCUUAUUUUUAAAAAUGGUGUUGCCACUGCUAUAUUUAAAAUAGAUAAGCAACAAGGACCUACUGUAUAGCUCAUGGAACUCUGCUCAAUGUUAGUUGCAGCCUGGAUGGCAGAGAGAUUUUGGGGAGAAUGGACACAUGUGUAUGUAUGGCUGAGUGCCUCCACUGUUCACCUGAAACUAUCACAGCAUUGUAUGUUAGUCAGCUAAAUCCCAAUACAAAAUAAAAAAACUUAAAAAAAAAGGCAGACUCACAGACAUAGAGAACUAUGGGGAAGGGAGUAGGGGAAGGAAGCACCAGGAGUGUGGCAUUAGCAGAUGCAAACUAUUGUGUAUAGGAUGGAUACACAACAAGAGAACUAUAGUCGAUGUCCUGUGAUAAACCAUAAUGGAAAAGAAUAUUUUUUAUAGAAGAAUGUCUACAUAUGUAUAACUGAGUCACUUUUCUGUACAGCAGAGAUUGGCACUACAUUGUAAAUCAACUAUACUUCAAUAAAAAAUAAAAUUAAAAAAAUAAAGAUGGUGCUGGUGUAACUGGAAAAAAAUAAAGCAUGAUUCCUGCAUCAUGCCAUGUGCGCGUGUGUGCUGAGUCGCUUCAGUUGUGUCCUGCUCUUUGGGACCCUACGGACUGUAGCCCACCAGGCUUCUCUGUCCAUGAGAUUCUCCAGGCAAGAAUACUGGAGUGGGUUGCUAUGCCCUCCUCCAGGGGAUCUUCCUAACCUAGGGAUCAAACCAGUAUCUCUUACAUCUCUUGCAUUUGCAGGCGGGUUCUUUACCACUAGUGCCACCUGGGAAGCUGAUAUCAUGCCAUUCAGGAGACAAAUUCCAAUGAACAAAAUACUUACAGAUAAAAAAAUCAGUAAAGAUCUUGGAAGAAAACUGAAGAAAGUUUGUGUACAGUUUUGUGAUGGACAGGUACCUUUUCAAUAAGGACUCUCAAGUCCACAUAAUAAAAUAUCAGUAAAAAUCCUAGGCAGAUGAUGACUGUAAACAAAGCAAUGGGCAGGAUUGUAGCAUGCAAGGCAGAUGAAAGACAGUUGUACGAAUAAAAGAAUAAUAACCAAGAAGAUUGGGCAAAGAAUAUAAAUAGACAAAUUACGGAAUGAAAAAAUCCAAGAGGCCAAUAAAACAUAUGAAAAGAUGCUCUGCCUUUAUUAUCCAGGGAAAUGGCAGUUAAAGCAAAAAUAAGACAUCAUUUUCUAGCCAUUAAUUGGCAAAACAGAAGAUGACUUAUGAAGUCAACACUGCUUGGAACGCAAAGAAAAGGGUCCUCUCACAUAUUGCUGGUGGCAGUGUGAUUUGUUACAAAAACAAAUCAGUAAUUUAUUUGGCUGCACCAGGUCUUAGUUGCUUCACUCAGGAUCUCCGGUCUUCAUUGCUGCAUCGAACUCUUAGUUAUGGCAUGUGGAUCUAGUUCCCUGAGCAAGGAUCGAACCUGAGCCCCCUAUAUUGGGAGUUCAGAGUCUUAGAACUUCCUCUUAUUUAUACUUGUGAAGGUUAUCACAGAUCUUUGAGUUGGAGGAGCUAGAUUUGAUAUAAGAAACUAUAGUGUACUUUUCAUAUUUAGUUACUUAUAAAUAAACUUAGUAAAUUCUUUAGUCUUCUCAUAAAAAUAAAAACUCAUGGCCAACAUAUCAAAAAAUGUUUCAUGAUGAAAACAUAGUGAAAUAAAAAGAAUUGAAAAUUUAACACUUUUUCUUGACUUUAAAAUUUUUAAUUGGAGGAUAAUUGCUUUACAAUAUUAUAUUGAUUUCUGCCGUAUAUCAACAUGAAUCAGCCAUAAGUAUACAUAUGGGUUGUUUGUUGUAAAGUCACUAUUGAAUUUGUUCCAAUAUUGUUUCUGUUUUCUGUUUUGGUUUUUUGGCCAGUGAGGCAUGUGGGAUCUUAGCUCCCACCUCUGCAUUUAGGGGUGAAGUCUUAACCAGUGGACUGCUAGAGAGGUCCUUUGAGAAAAAGUUUAAUACAAGCAUAACAUACAGGAGAAUGCAUGAUUGGUAAAUGAAUUUUAAUGAAUUUUAAUUUUAAUGAAUUUUCUAAAGUGAAUAUACCAUCACCCAAUCAAGGAACAGAACAUUAACGGGAUCCCAGAAAUUUCCCCUCAUACCUCCUCCAGUACUACCUCUGACCUCCUCCUGAGAGGUAAACACUAUCUUGUCUUCUAAUAACCCAGAUGCAUUUUUCUGGGGUUUUGACCUUCAUUUAAGUGAAAUCAUUCAGUAUGUACUCUUUUGUGGCUGGCAUCUUUCGCUCAGUGUUAUAUGUGGGAUAUUCAUCCAAGUUGCUGAAUAAAGCAGCAGUUCAUCCAUUUUAUUAUUGUACAAUAUAUCACAUGGGCUUCCCUUGUGGCUUAGCUGGUAAAGAAUCUGCCUGCAAUGUGGGACACCUGGGUUCAAUCCCUGGGUUGGGAAGAUCCCCUGGAGAAGGAAAGGCUACCCACUCCAGUAUUCUGGCCUGGAGAAGUCCAUGGACUGUAUAGUCCAUGGGAUUGCAAAGAGUAGGACACGACUGAGUGACUUCCACUUCACUUUCAUAUCACACAACUCAUUGGUGGAGGAGUUAUGCACUAUUUGUGUAACUCUAUUGGGGGAAGACUAUCAUAAGCUUCUAUGUAGUUUCCUGCAGACUUGGCUCAUGUACCUUUUCCCUUUGCUGAUUUUGCUUUGUCUCUUCUGCAUCCUUUCAUAAGGAUAACGAACAGCCACGAAUAUGACUAGAGGUUUAAUCCUGAGUCCUCAUAGUGAAUCGUUGACCCUGGGGCUGGUUGUCUUGGAGACCUCUGAUACAAAUGGUGUCAGAAGUGGGAUUCACUAGCCCCACCUCUAACUCACUGAGCUUCAGCAAUAGCAUUGCUUCAGAAGAGGAAAUGAAGAUGAAGGGAUGGGAUAUAAUGAAAAUUUGGUUCCUGGGUGAUUGUGGAGUCAUCCAUGGUAUGAAAUAGCACUGAGUUGCCAUCUGUUGUGAGAGGUAGAAGUUGUUGUUGUUUAGUUGAUAAGUCAUAUCCGACUCGUUGCAACCCAAUGGACUAUAGCCUGCAGGCUCCUCUGUCCAUAGUAUUCUCCAGGCAAGAAUACUGGAGUGGGUUGCCAUUUCCUUCACCAAGGGACCUUCCCGACCCAGGGAUAGAACUCAUGUCUCUUGCAUUGGCAGCUGAAUUCUUUUCCCCUGAGCCAUCAAAGAAGCCCUACGUAAAAGUUACUUAUGGAAUAUGAGAGUAAGAGAUCAUUCCCAGGACAGCUGGCUCACUGGGUGCCCUGGCUGCUUUUGGCCAUGCUGGCUAAAGUGAGGAGGAAACAUGCGGGCUGAGUGAUGCUUCUAGUUUUUGUUUUCUCCUCCAGAAAGAGGAGAAAGGGCUCCUAAAUUCCGUCUUCCCACUUGCAUACCAGCCAUGAUUUUUCCUGAAAGCUAUAAUAUUAAUUUUGUAAGUGCUAAAUUGACUUCUAGAGGUUUGAGUGAAAUUUCAAUGAGGAAAAAAAGGGUGGUAUUUUAGUUGCUUUGUAUCUUGUUACUCUUGCAUAUGGCUGUAUGGUAAAAUUGAUAUCAAAUGUUAAGUGCUUUUAAUUUCAUAAAUUCUAGAGGGAUCAUCCUUAUAGGAAGAGCUGCAAAGUAGGGAGACUCAAAUUCCUUGCUUUUUUGCCACUGAUGGAUGGAUUAGGAUGAACUGUUUUGAGUAUUGUAAACAGAACAAGUUUCCAUGGGUGGUGAUCCUUUAUUUUUUUUAAUUAUAUUUUUUGACCUCGCAUUUUGGUGUUCAGGAUCUUAGUUCCCUGACCAGGGAUUGAACCCAUCACCCUUGCAGUGCAGUGUCUUAACCACUGGACCACCAGGAAAGUCCCAAUAGGUGAUGAUCUUUAAUAAUGACAUUUGCCUAUUAAAGUCCAAGGGGAAAAAAUGAGACAACAUAAAAAAGAAAGCCAAUCUCCAUAUAAAGAUACACUUUUGGAGUUUUAAGCAAUUUUCAGUGAGUGUGUAUAUACUUGCUAGAUGGGAUACUGCUGCUGCCGGAUUCAUGAAUUGCUUAAUAAAGCCACUUAGAGAUUAAAAAAAGAAAUUUUCAGUUUUCUAAAGAAAGUAAAAAUGAAAGCUGCUCAGUCAUGUCCAACUCUUUAGGACCCUGUGGACUGUCCAUGGAAUUCUCCAGGCCAGAAUACUGGA